GUGCUCGCUUCAGCAGCACAUAUAUUAAAAUUGGAAUGAUACAGAGAAGAUUAGCAUGACCCUUGCACAAGGAUGACAUGCAAAUUCGUGAAGCAUUCCUUAUUUUU
ensembl:snRNA U6 U6 spliceosomal RNA